rnacentral:rRNA from 1 species
UGGAAAGUUCAUUCUGUGACCGUACUUAGCCAGAAAGGGACGGCUAACUACGUGCCAGCAGCCGCGGUAAUACGUAGGUCCCGAGCGCGUGUCCGGAUUUAUUGGGCGUAAAGCGAGCGCAGGCGGUUAGAAAAGUCUGAAGUGAAAGGCAGUGGCUCAACCAUUGUAGGCUUUGGAAACUGUUUAACUUGAGUGCAGAAGGGGAGAGUGGAAUUUCAUGUGUAGCGUUGAAAUGCGUAGAUAUAUGGAGGAACACCGGUGGCGAAAGCGGCUCUCUGGUCUGUUAACUGACGCUGAGGCUCGAAAGCGUGGGGAGCGAACAGGAUUAGAUACCCUGGUAGUCCACGCCGUAAACGAUGAGUGCUAGGUGUUAGGUCCUUUCCGGGACUUAGUGCCGCAGCUAACGCAUUAAGCACUCCGCCUGGGGAGUACGACCGCAAGGUUGAAACUCAAAGGAAUUGACGGGGGCCCGCACAAGCGGUGGAGCAUGUGGUUUAAUUCGAAGCAACGCGAAGAACCUUACCAGGUCUUGACAUCCCGAUGCUAUUUCUAGAGAUAGGAAGUUUCUUCGGAACAUCGGUGACAGGUGGUGCAUGGUUGUCGUCAGCUCGUGUCGUGAGAUGUUGGGUUAAGUCCCGCAACGAGCGCAACCCUUAUUGUUAGUUGCCAUCAUUGAGUUGGGCACUCUAGCGAGACUGCCGGUAAUAAACCGGAGGAAGGUGGGGAUGACGUCAAAUCAUCAUGCCCCUUAUGACCUGGGCUACACACGUGCUACAAUGGCUGGUACAACGAGUCGCAAGCCGGUGACGGCAAGCUAAUCUCUGAAAGCCAGUCUCAGUUCGGAUUGUAGGCUGCAACUCGCCUACAUGAAGUCGGAAUCGCUAGUAAUCGCGGAUCAGCACGCCGCGGUGAAUACGUUCCCGGGCCUUGUACACACCGCCCGUCACACCACGAGAGUUUGUAACACCCGAAGUCGGUGAGGUACCCGUAAGGAGCC